AUGCUUGAUUUGGCUGCACAUAAACUAAAUUUUGAACAAUACAGAGAUUAGCAUGGCCCCUGUGCAAGGAUGACACACAGAUUUAUGAAGGAUUCCAUAUUUUU